CACAUUUUCAUCUAUCUUUGUGUCUUCUUGUGUCUUCAUCUAUCUUGCUAUCUUCAUGUCUUCAUCUAUCUUCAUGUCUUCAUCUAUCUUCAUGUCUUCAUCUAUCUUGCUAUCUUCAUGUCUUCAUCUAUCUUGCUAUCUUCAUGUCUUCAUCUAUCUUCAUGUCUUCAUGUAUCUUCAUGUCUUCAUGUAUCUUCAUGUCUUCACCUAUCUUCAUGUGUCUUCAUGUAUAUUCAUGUCUUCAUCUAUCUUCAUGUCUUCACCUAUAUCUUCAUCUAUCUUCAUGUCUUCACCUAUCUUCAUGUGUCUUCAUCUAUCUUUAUGUCUUCGCCUAUCUUCAUCUAUCUUCAUGUCUUCCUCUAUCUUCACAUUUUCAUCUAUCUUUGUGUCUUCUUGUGUCUUCAUCUAUCUUGCUAUCUUCAUGUCUUCAUCUAUCUUCAUGUCUUCAUCUAUCUUCAUGUCUUCAUCUAUCUUGCUAUCUUCAUGUCUUCAUCUAUCUUGCUAUCUUCAUGUCUUCAUCUAUCUUCAUGUCUUCAUGUAUCUUCAUGUCUUCAUGUAUCUUCAUGUUUUCACCUAUCUUCAUGUGUCUUCAUGUAUAUUCAUGUCUUCAUCUAUCUUCAUGUCUUCACCUAUAUCUUCAUCUAUCUUCAUGUCUUCACCUAUCUUCAUGUGUCUUCAUCUAUCUUUAUGUCUUCGCCUAUCUUCAUCUAUCUUCAUGUCUUCCUCUAUCUUCACAUUUUCAUCUAUCUUUGUGUCUUCUUGUGUCUUCAUCUAUCUUGCUAUCUUCAUGUCUUCAUCUAUCUUCAUGUCUUCAUCUAUCUUCAUGUCUUCAUCUAUCUUGCUAUCUUCAUGUCUUCAUCUAUCUUGCUAUCUUCAUGUCUUCAUCUAUCUUCAUGUCUUCAUCUAUCUUCAUGUGUCUUCAUCUAUCUUCAUGUCGUCAUGUAUCUUAAAAUGUCUUUGUGUCUUUAUGUCCUUCCGUGUUUGUGAAAUUGUAAAUAUUACUGUACGCUGGGGUUCUAGUAGUGCAUGUUAGGUUCUAGAAGUGCACGGUUAGUGUUAU
rnacentral:lncRNA from 1 species